rnacentral:sRNA from 1 species
AGAGUAAAAUAGUACGUGAAAUUGUUGAAAGGGAAACGAUUGAAGUCAGUCGUACCGACGAGAAAUCAGCUUUUUGAGUGUGAACUUGUGGGCGUGCGUGAGUCUUUAACGGGCCUCGCUGUUUGCAAUUUUGUGCUUUUUGAGUGUACUUUUUCGUAUGGUAGGCCAACGUCAGUUUUGAUCACCGUAAAAUGAUCGGAGGAAUGUAGCUUCGAUCUCGUAUUGAAGUGUUAUAGCCUCUGGUAGAUGCGGUGACCGAAACUGAGGAUUGCAACGAAUACCCUUUGGGCUAUCCGUCUGGCCUCUGAAAGUUGCUUAGGUGCCGAAAGCGUGCUUACGGCUAUUUAAGUUGACGGUCAACAGGUUAGAACGUGAUUACAUUCGUUAAGGACGUUGGCGUAAUGGCUUUAAACGACC